GUUUGCGGAGACUUGGGAAAAAUUCACAAGAUCAGUAUCGUCUUAACACCGUAAGUCUCCUGCAUAUGGAAAUUGAUUCGAAUUCUUAUUAUGUUUUAACCUUAAAUUCUCAUUCUCUGACAGCUCUUGAGUAGUUUAUUGCAGCAGUCAGCACCAUCUCACACACACUCUACGCAGGGAAGCCGAUGAAUAUAAGUGAGUGUUCCAAAAAAGAAAAAAAAAGAAAAAAAAGGGAA
rnacentral:lncRNA from 1 species